rnacentral:tRNA from 1 species
AUCUAAAUAGUUUAUUAAAAAUAUUGAUUUGUGGGAUCAAAGAUAUAAAAUUAUAUUUUAGAUA